rnacentral:rRNA from 2 species
UGGUGGGUAGUUUGACUGGGGCGGUCUCCUCCUAAAGAGUAACGGAGGAGCACGAAGGUUGGCUAAUCCUGGUCGGACAUCAGGAGGUUAGUGCAAUGGCAUAAGCCAGCUUGACUGCGAGCGUGACGGCGCGAGCAGGUGCGAAAGCAGGUCAUAGUGAUCCGGUGGUUCUGAAUGGAAGGGCCAUCGCUCAACGGAUAAAAGGUACUCCGGGGAUAACAGGCUGAUACCGCCCAAGAGUUCAUAUCGACGGCGGUGUUUGGCACCUCGAUGUCGGCUCAUCACAUCCUGGGGCUGAAGUAGGUCCCAAGGGUAUGGCUGUUCGCCAUUUAAAGUGGUACGCGAGCUGGGUUUAGAACGUCGUGAGACAGUUCGGUCCCUAUCUGCCGUGGGCGCUGGAGAACUGAGGGGGGCUGCUCCUAGUACGAGAGGACCGGAGUGGACGCAUCACUGGUGUUCGGGUUGUCAUGCCAAUGGCACUGCCCGGUAGCUAAAUGCGGAAGAGAUAAGUGCUGAAAGCAUCUAAGCACGAAACUUGCCCCGAGAUGAGUUCUCCCUGAGACUUUAAGUCUCCUGAAGGAACGUUGAAGACGACGACGUUGAUAGGCCGGGUGUGUAAGCGC